rnacentral:rRNA from 1 species
AUGAACGCUGGCGGCGUGCCUAAUACAUGCAAGUCGAGCGAACGGACGAGAAGCUUGCUUUUCUGAUGUUAGCGGCGGACGGGUGAGUAACACGUGGAUAACCUACCUAUAAGACUGGGAUAACUUCGGGAAACCGGAGCUAAUACCGGAUAAUAUUUUGAACCGCAUGGUUCAUAAGUGAAAGACGGUCUUGCUGUCACUUAUAGAUGGAUCCGCGCUGCAUUAGCUAGUUGGUAAGGUAACGGCUUACCAAGGCAACGAUGCAUAGCCGACCUGAGAGGGUGAUCGGCCACACUGGAACUGAGACACGGUCCAGACUCCUACGGGAGGCAGCAGUAGGGAAUCUUCCGCAAUGGGCGAAAGCCUGACGGAGCAACGCCACGUGAGUGAUGAAGGUCUUCGGAUCGUAAAACUCUGUUAUUAGGGAAGAACAUAUGUGUAAGUAACUGUGCACAUCUUGACGGUACCUAAUCAGAAAGCCACGGCUAACUACGUG